rnacentral:rRNA from 14 species
GACCGUACCCCAAACCGACACAGGUGGUCAGGUAGAGAAUACCAAGGCGCUUGAGAGAACUCUGCUGAAGGAACUAGGCAAAAUGGUACCGUAACUUCGGGAGAAGGUACGCUGCCGAUGGUGAGUAGUCACGCACUACAAAGCUAUUGGCAGUCGCAGAUACCAGGCCGCUGCAACUGUUUAUUAAAAACACAGCACUCUGCAAACACGAAAGUGGACGUAUAGGGUGUGACGCCUGCCCGGUGCUGGAAGAUUAAAUGAUGGGGUGCAAGCUCUUGAUUGAAGUCCCAGUAAACGGCGGCCGUAACGAUAACGGUCCUAAGGUAGCGAAAU